rnacentral:rRNA from 1 species
GAAGAUAUUAAGGGCACACGGUGGAUGCCUUGGCAUAGGAAGUCGAUGAAGGACGUGAUAAGCUGCGAUAAGCUGCGGUGAGGUGCACUUAACCGUUAUGAACCGCAGAUUUCCGAAUGGGGGAACCCGGCUGGGGUAAUGCCCAGUCACUCUGUGUUGAACACAUAGACACAGAAGAGGCAACCCGGGGAACUGAAACAUCUAAGUACCCGGAGGAAGAGAAAUCAACCGAGAUUCCGCUAGUAGCGGCGAGCGAACGCGGAAGAGCCUAAACCCAUGCAUGUGUAAGUAUUAGGACGUUGCUGCAUGAGGUGUUGUAGGGUCUGCUAUUCUUCCACCCUAAUGUGUUAGACGUAGUUACAAAGUGUUGUUGUAGCAGAACGGCAUGGAAAGGCCGGCCAGAGGGGGUAAAAGCCCCGUAUGCGAAACAGCAGCACCUGCGAAGCAGAUACCUGAGUAAUGCCGGACACGUGAAACCCGGUAUGAAUCUGGGGAGACCACUCUCCAAGGCUAAAUACUCUCCUAUGACCGAUAGCGAACCAGUACCGUGAGGGAAAGGUGAAAAGUACCCCGAGAGGGGAGUGAAAUAGUACCUGAAACCGUGUGCCUACAAGCAGUCGGAGCACCUUCGUGGUGUGACGGCGUGCCUUUUGUAGAAUGAGCCAGCGAGUUACGGUGUGCAGCGAGGUUAAGUUUUGAAACGAGCCGUAGUGAAAGCGAGCCUUUAAGAUGGCGUUUAGUUGUUUGCCGUAGACGCGAAGCCGGGUGAUCUAUCCAUGGGCAGGCUGAAGCAGAGGUAAGACUCUGUGGAGGGCCGAACCCACUUCGGUUGAAAACGGAGGGGAUGACCUGUGGAUAGGGGUGAAAGGCCAAUCAAACCCGGAGAUAUCUCGUUCUCCCCGAAAUAGCUUUAGGGCUAGCCGAAAUAGCUUUAGGGCUAGCGUCAAUUGUUUACUGCCGGUGGUAGAGCACUGGAUUUUUGCGGGGGCUUCACCGCCUACCAAUAAAAACCAAACUCCGAAUGCCGGUAGUCCAGAGAUUGGCAGUCAGAAUAUGUGGGCUAAGCUGUGUAUUCGAAAGGGAAACAGCCCAGACCGCCCGCUAAGGUCCCUAAGUUCAUGCUAAGUGGCAAAGGAUGUGCGUUUGCCUAGACAACCAGGAUGUUGGCUUAGAAGCAGCCAUGCAUUUAAAGAGUGCGUAACAGCUCACUGGUCAAGUGGACAUGCGCCGACAAUUCACGGGGCUAAGCAUGACACCGAAGCGGCGGACUGAUUUUUCAGUGGUAGGGGAGCUUUCUGUUCUGGGUUGAAGCUGUUGGGUGACCAAUGGUGGACUGUACAGAAGUGAGAAUGCUGGCAUGAGUAACGAGAGUGGAGCGAGAAACUCCACCGCCGUAAGCCUAAGGGUUCCUGGGCAAGGCUAAUCCUCCCAGGGUCAGUCGGGAGCUAAGGCGAGGCCGCAAGGCGUAGUCGAUGCACAACAGGUUGAUAUUCCUGUACCAUCAAAAGACCGUUAUACCGAUGGGGUGACGGAGAAGGGUAGCCGGGCGGGGUUCUGGACGUCCCCGUGAAAGCGUGUAGGGUUCAGUGUAGGGAAAUCCGCACUGUUUAUGCCUGAGACGUGAGACGAAGCAAUUGCGUGAAGUCGGUGAGCCCAUGCUUCCAAGAAAAACCUCUAGGAAGGUCCUAGAUGCCCGUACCAAAACCGACACAGGUAGGCGGGUAGAGCAUACCAAGGCGAUCGGGAGAACUAUGGUUAAGGAACUCGGCAUAAUGACUCCGUAACUUCGGGAGAAGGAGUGCCCUUGCUGGUGAAAGGACUUGCUCCUCUAGCUGGCGGGGGUCGCAGUGAAACGGCCCAAGCGACUGUUUAUCAAAAACACAGGACUCUGCUAAGUCGUAAGACGACGUAUAGGGUCUGACGCCUGCCCGGUGCUGGAAGGUUACGUGGAUGGGUUAGCCUUCGGGCGAAGCUUUGAAACUAAGCCCCAGUAAACGGCGGCCGUAACUAUAACGGUCCUAAGGUAGCGAAAUUCCUUGUCGGGUAAGUUCCGACCUGCACGAAUGGCGUAACGAUUUGGGCGCUGUCUCAACCAUAGACCCGGUGAAAUUGUAUUAUUCGUGAAGAUGCGAAUUACCCACGGAAGGACGGAAAGACCCCGUGAACCUUUACUGCAGCUUGACAUUGAUUGUUGGUUCGUUGUGUAGAGGAUAGGUGGGAGGCUGUGAAGCAGUGACGCCAGUUGCUGUGGAGCCACCCUUGGAAUACCACCCUCAACGUAUUGGCAAUCUAACGUGUGGCCGUGAUCCGGCAUGCGGACCGUGUCAGGUGGGUAGUUUGACUGGGGCGGUCGCCUCCUAAAAUGUAACGGAGGCGUGCGUAAGGUCCGCUCAGAACGGUUGGCAAUCGUUCGUAGAGCACAAGAGUAUAAGCGGGCUUGACUGCGAGACCUACAAGUCGAGCAGAUGGGAAACCAGGUUCUAGUGAUCCGGCGGCUCAGAGUGGAAUGGCCGUCGCUCAACGGAUAAAAGGUACUCCGGGGAUAACAGGCUGAUCUUGCCCAAGAGUCCACAUCGACGGCAAGGUUUGGCACCUCGAUGUCGGCUCAAGUCGGUCCCAAGGGUAUGGCUGUUCGCCAUUUAAAGCGGUACGCGAGCUGGGUUCAGAACGUCGUGAGACAGUUCGGUCCCUAUCCUCCGCGGGCGUAAGAGAAUUGAGGAGAGCUGCCCCUAGUACGAGAGGACCGGGGUGGACGUACCUCUGGUGUCGCGGUUGUUGACCAACAGCAUCGCCGCUUAGCUACGUACGGAACGGAUAACCGCUGAAAGCAUCUAAGUGGGAAGCCGACUCCAAGAUGAGUUCUCUUUUUGGUAAGACCCCUUGUAGACUACGAGGUUGAUAGGCUAUAACUGUAAGCGUUGUGAGGCGUUUAGGUGAGUAGUACUAAUUGGUCGAGCUCUU